CGGACGGGUGAGUAAUGUCUGGGAAACUGCCCGAUGGAGGGGGAUAACUACUGGAAACGGUGGCUAAUACCGCAUAACGUCGCAAGACCAAAGAGGGGGACCUUCGGGCCUCUUGCCAUCGGAUGUGCCCAGAUGGGAUUAGCUAGUAGGUGGGGUAAUGGCUCACCUAGGCGACGAUCCCUAGCUGGUCUGAGAGGAUGACCAGCCACACUGGAACUGAGACACGGUCCAG
rnacentral:rRNA from 1 species